CAGUAGCCACGGUAAUACGGAGGGAGCUAGCGUUGUUCGGAAUUACUGGGCGUAAAGCGCGCGUAGGCGGUUACUCAGGUCAGAGGUGAAAGCCCGGGGCUCAACCCCGGAACUGCCUUUGAAACUAGGUGACUAGAAUCUUGGAGAGGUCAGUGGAAUUCCGAGUGUAGAGGUGAAAUUCGUAGAUAUUCGGAAGAACACCAGUGGCGAAGGCGACUGACUGGACAAGUAUUGACGCUGAGGUGCGAAAGCGUGGGGAGCAAACAGGAUUAGAUACCCGUGUAGUCCCUGUCUCUUAUAC
rnacentral:rRNA from 1 species